rnacentral:rRNA from 1 species
GACGAACCGAGCGAACGUUAUUCGGAAUCACUGGGCUUAAAGGGUGCGUAGGCGGGUCUUUAAGUCAGGGGUGAAAUCCUGGAGCUCAACUCCAGAACUGCCAUUGAUACUGAAGAUCUUGAGUCCGGGAGAGGUGAGUGGAACUGCGAGUGUAGAGGUGAAAUUCGUAGAUAUUCGCAAGAACACCAGUGGCGAAGGCGGCUCACUGGCCCGGUACUGACGCUGAGGCACGAAAGCGUGGGGAGCAAACAGG